CCUGUUCGCAGCAGAAACGUCAAUGCCCACACCUGCUUGUGUGGUGAAUGUGAGGCAUCACUGACGAUUGCCCGUGUGGAGCCAGACUGAGAGAAUGACAAAGUAGGAGGAAAUACUUUGUCAGGACCCAGAUAUCUGUUACAAUUCACAUGCAGAGACAGGAGACAGGACAGGGCUCUGAUCUUCGACUGCUCUUAAACCCAUUAAGGCCACCUGGGUGUGUAGCCAUGCAUGGCUAGGAAGAUGACCAGGAGGCCUGAGGGGCCACAGUCCUAGAUAACUGGAAGAUGACUCCUGUGGACCUUCUCGCCAUCAAACCAAGUUCACACACCAUCACAGUGCCUAGUAAGAAGAUCGACAUCAAAUACGUCAUUACCCAGGAGAGAUGGCUCGAUGGUGAAGCCCAAAUUGAAGAUAGCUACAGUUUUCAUCGCCUGUUGCAGAACGAGGCA